UAGCACUUCAGAUGUUUUGGACUACACCUCCCAUGAUGCUUUGCCAGCAUUAUGGGGGAUGUAGUCCACAACAUCUGGAGUGCCG